rnacentral:rRNA from 1 species
GACGAACGCUGGCGGCGUGCCUAAUACAUGCAAGUUGAGCGCUGAAGGUUGGUACUUGUCCCAACUGGCUGAGCAGCUAACGGGUGAGUAACGCGUGGGUAAUCUGCCUUUGAUCGGGGGACAACAUUUGGAAACGAAUGCUAAUACCGCAUAAAAACUUUAAACACAAGUUUUAAGUUUGAAAUAUGCAAUUGCAUCACUCAAAUAUUAUCCCGCGUUGUAUUAGCUAGUUGGUGAGGUAAAGGCUCACCAAGGCGAUGAUACAUAGCCGACCUGAGAGGGGGGUCGGACAAAUUGGGAAGGAGAAAAGGAACAAAAGAAGAAGGGAGGCAGCAGCAGGGAAUCAUCGGAAAUGGAAGAAAGACUGAACGAGAAAAGCCGAGGGAGUGAAGAAGGUUUUCGGAUCGUAAAAAUCGGUUGGUAGAGAAGAACGUGGGUGAGAGUGGAAAGAUCAUCAAGUGACGGUAACUACACAGAAAGGGACGGCUAACUACGUG